AAUAGGACAUGAGUGAUGAGGAGCAGCCUUGGGGUGAGGAGAGCCCCCCUGCCCUGAGGGCAAAUUGCCUUGAGGUGUCCCCUGAGGUGAGGGUGGGAGGGAGCAGCCAAGCAUCCUGGGCAAGGCCCAACCAACUCAGAGGAAGGAUCCCCUAUACCCAACCAAUCCCUCCCCCUCCCCUGGCCCCGCAUUAGUUAGCAUUCAUCCUUCAGCUUGUAAAGUGCUUUCAGACCCUGUCUCUGCCUAGGCUCUCACAGCAAGCUGGGGAGGUGGGAUUCUUCCAUCCUAUAGAAGUGGAGAGCCUGGAGAGCUGCCUGAACUGCCUAAAGUCAGAGACGCAACCCAGCAGAAUGGAUUAGAGCCCAGCCUGUGGGCUUUUCCUACUGAAGUCAACACCCUUCCCCCUGACCUGGAACAGGGGGCCCAGCAGAGAGGAGGGGGAUCAAUGGGAUACAUCCUGGGAUCAUCUUGCUCUGACUGAAAACCCUAGGUCCCCAGCUUCAGGACCCAGCCUAGAGAGGCAACACUGUAGGGGAAAGGGCCUUCUGGGAAUCAGAAGCCAGAUGACCUGUGUGAGCCUCAGGAGGCCAGGAGUCAAGCCAGUCCCAUUUAAACAAGGAAGAGAAGAAAGAAGGGGAGAUCCAAGUAUCCAAGGAGAAGGGACAAGGAAUCAUAAGAAUGUUCUCACCACCCUAAGGCCAUGCCAUCACUUCUGUCUCCUUCCACAGACUCCUCCUCAUCCAGGCCCUUGUCCCUUUACAGGAAGCAGCACAGCACGGGGAAAGGAACAUGAAUUUUGGAGUCAUGUGGCCCUACAUCUGAAUUCUGGCUCUGCCACUUAACUAGCUGCGUGAUUUCAGGCAAGUUGCUUAACUGAUCUGAGCCUCAGUUUCCUCAUCUGAAAAUAAGUACAGUAAUAUCCUUUUCCUAGGGUCUUUGGGGUACUGUUUAUAAACACAAGGCAUUCCCAUGAACCAGCAGGUAUAAAGUAUCAGACCUCUGGAAGAGGCUCAAGCCCUACAAAAAUAAUUGCUCUCUAGGUUGAUUUAUAAGUGGUCACUCUUUGUCAUUUGUAAGUUGUUUGCUCUGCAGCACAGAUACUUUAAGAUUCUGAAUCUCAGACUGAUAGGAUCCUGUCCCUGAAAAGAUGGAUGGGGACACAGGCCCCAGGGAAGUGACUAGAUCAAGGUCACACAGGGAACCGUGGCAGAGCUGGAGCUCAAACAUGGGUGUCUGACGUCUAAUCUAGGCCUCUUACCCUUGUGUCACUGCUAACUCAGAUUAUUAUUUUAAACAGGACGUUGGUGAUCACCUGGUCAGACUCCCUCCCACACUGGGAGGAAGUGAGGCCCAGAGAAGUUUGAUGAGCAGACAGUAUGGAAAUCAGGAGAGCAGGAGUUUCUCCGACCAAUGCACAGAUGAGUUAAACUCCAGGUGCUCUGCACAGGUCCUACACAGAGUUGGUGCUCGAUAAAUGAACGUGCCAUGAAAGAAUUGAGUCAGCGGAGAGGGGAAGUUCUGGAAGAGGAGGUGAUUGAUGGUCCUUAAUCCUGGAAACCUCUUUAACAAAGAAAAUACUUCAUCAUGUGAUGUGGAAACUGAGUCCGAGAAGAGAGGUCGGGACUUGCCUAAGAUCAUUGAUUUAUGCUAGCACAAACCCCAGUGGCAGUCUUCAGAUCUGAGGGGGGGUGCUUAUAGGAACACCCCUUCCCUAAGGGGGCAGGACCAGAAGAAAUGGCUUUGAAUUGCGAACAAAAGGAUCCAGGUGAGAUAUAAGGAAGAAUCCCAGCUGUAAGAAUGGGUAACAUAAGAAGACUGGAACCGCCUUCUCUGGGAUGGGAUGAGAUCCCCUCCAGGGGGUUGCCUGAAAUGAUCUCAGCACUGCAUCUCCCAGGGGCACCGCUCUCACACCAGUCCUUUUCUUUGGGAGUCCAAGGGAUUCAGGAUCCCUCUCCCAGAGACCGGCGCCAUGGCUGGUGGCUGGGGGAACUUGAGAGGCCAGUCCUGGAACAGGUGCAACAGCUGGAACAACUGUGCAGCUGUUACCCAGCUCCUGCUCAGCAGCCAGCUAGCCAGUGAGUGAGACAGAGACCUCUACUGGUGGGAGUGAGGAAGUGCAGAACCACCUAGACAGACCCAGAGAGGGGCCUGCCUGGAGCCAGAUGUCAAGCCUUCACUCAGGUGUCCCCCUCCCCCGUGUAAAUCUGGACAGGUAGAUGGGGAUGCAACUAAGCUGAAAAGCAGGGCAGGGUCCCUGCCGGUGGGUCCCCCUACACACCCACUGUUCUAGGCCUCCUAAGUACUGGAGGGGCCACUCCUGGUGUCUGAGGAUCUAUUGACUCCUCCCUAGCAGGACAGGAGUACAAGGCUGCAGACGUAAACACCCUGACUUCCUUUCCCGAAGCUCAGAACAGGCUCAGAAUCAAGGCAACAGCAUCUUUGGAUCUUAGAGUCUUAGAAUCACGGGAUAUUAAAGCCAGAAGUGUCCUCAAUGAUUGUCUCUUGGGGUCAACCAUCUCUCUUUACUGCUGGGAAAACUGAGGGGGAGAGAAAGGCAACUUGUCUGGUGUCUGCAUGGCUGGAAUUAGUAGCAGAACCAGGCUGAGGCCCUGACCUUCUGAUUCCAAGUUUGUCCUCUGUACUACUUCAUACGAUGGGAGCUCCCUUCCUGCCCUAUCUCUGCUUCUGCAGUCUGGGAUUCUGUCACUUGGGAACAGAAGCCUCAAUUCCCACAGUUCACAUCACCUUUGGAGAGAGGCUAGAGCAAUUGAUGGUUUUACCUGAUAACUGACUGUCUCUUGAAAGCAGGACUGGGCAGCGGGAGGGAAGAGAAAGCAGAAGCGAGCCGGAUACCUUGCGGGUGGGAGGGGGCGGCAAUAGUAAGGGAGGAGCACAAGGAAGAGGCGCUGACAUAGGGGGAAGAGCACCAGAGAGGGAGUCAAGAUACUAGGCCGGUUCUCGUUCCACAGAGAAAUGGAUACCCAAACUGACUAACGUCAUACAUGUGUGUGUCUUCACCUGGGGCUGGGGUCAGUACCAGUCAGUGACCAGGUCACAGACCUGGAAUCGGGGUUAAGUCCGUGGUCAGGGCUUUGAGGAUCAGGGCUCAGCCUGUGGCCAGAGCUGAGACUCAGUCCGGGUUGAAUUCAAUCUGUGGCUGGAAACAGAGCCAAGGACAGAAUAACCUUUGUUUGAAUAGCCUUUUUGCACUGUAACUGAGGAGCAAACUGCCAUGUGUGUUCACAGGCCUUUGGCAUUCUGCAGGGCUGAGCCACCUCAGGAGUCUGACAUGACACAGACUUGAGAAUUCCCAUCCGUUGGUAUCACUUCUGAAAGCAUCUAAGGUGUCCCCAGGAGAUUUCUUAUGUACAACGGGCCUUAGAUCUUACUUGAACUAAGACAAGGACCAUCAUAAGAGACCUCCAAAUAGGACUCUGGCAAAUGACUAUAGAAUAGGAUUGUUCCGGGGCGCCUGGGUGGCUCAGUCGUUUGAGCCUCCGACUUCAGCUCAGGUCACGAUCUCACGGUCCGUGAGUUCGAGCCCCGCAUCGGGCUCUGGGCUGAUGGCUCAGAGCCUGGAGUCUGCUUCCGAUUCUGUGUCUCCCUCUCUCUCUCUGCCCCUCCCCCGUUCAUGUUCUGUCUCUCUCUGUCUCAAAAAUAAAUAAACGUUAAAAAAAAAAAAAAGAAUAGGAUUGUUCCUAGAUUCAUAGAUUGUCAGCACUAGACAAUGUGAGGCUCCGAGCAGGGAAGUGAUCUGUUCAAAUUCACACAACCCAUAAGCAACAAAUCUAUUCUUUAAUAAAUUUGCUGUGUGAACUUGGGCAAGUCACUCCCACUUUCUGGGCUUCAGUUUAACUAUAGGAAAAUUGGGGGGGGGGGUAGAAGCAGACAAUUUUCUAAAAUUUUUUUAAUGUUUAUUUAUUUUGAGAGAGAGACAGAGCAUGAGCAGGAGAGGGGCAGAGAGAGAGGGAGACACAGAAUCCGAAGCAGGCUCCAGGCUCUGAACAGUCAGCACAGAGUCCAACGUGAGGCUCAAACUCACAAAAUGUGAGACCAUGACCUGAGCUGAAGUCGGGUGCUCAACCGACUGAGCCGCCCAGGUGCCCCAGAAGCAGAUGAUAUUCAAAGGCUCUUUCAGCUCUGACAUCCCAGAAUCUGAACACACCCCUCUGAAUACCAGUCCACCUCACUUUAACUCAAGUCUGCUCUGAGUUGUUUUCUUGUGUGUCUGUCGCUAAGACACUGCCUGAAGGCCAGUGGAGGCACAGAGGAAGGAGAGCAGAAUGGAUCAGGUGGCCAGGGAAAGUUUGCUGGAAGAAGUUUGACCUGGCAAGGUGGUGAAGGCCUGACAAGAUAUGGGAGGCCAAGAGCAGGGGUGUGGGUAGGACAAGAGCAAUCCUGCACAACGAUCUGAUUCUAGGACAUCUUUCCAAGAUGCAUCAGGGGCAACGGUACCCGGAGAAGCACCUUGGGAGCUAAGAACGAUGUGCCAAGAGGAAGGGAGGCAGGCACAGAGGGCAUUCAGUACUAAGUCCCUUUUAAGAAACAACAGGUAAGUGUUAGGAGGAAACCUCCAGGGCCCAAGGAAGGGGAGGAGGAAUUUACUGAGUACUAGGCAUUGUGCUGGCUGACUGAACACAGUCACUUCCCUUAAUCCUCCCAAGAAUUCUUUGGGUUCCAGGUAAGUAUGUGUCUUAGGUGAUGAAAUCGAGGCUCAGAGAAGUUGUGACUUAUGAGAAGUCACACAGCCGCUAAGGGGCAGAGGCAGGACUUGAACCCAACAGAGUUCCUUCCAUUACUUGUUACUAAGGACUUCUAUGAGUCUCAUGCUAAGGGCAGCCCAGAGACGACCAGACUUGCAACCUGCCCUCACAAGCAGAAAGAAUGAAACAAAAUCCAGCACUGCCAGCUCAGGAAAGUCAUGUGCCAAAGAAAGGCAGCAACGGGGGAGUGGAGCUGUGGGGAGGGCAGAGCGCUAGGCGGGGAGUUGGGAACCUGGGGUCUUCAUCCCAGGCUCUGCGCUGUGUAACCUGGAGCAAACCACUGCCCCUCCUUGUCCUCAGUUUCUUUAUCAGGUAUUUCAGGGUUUGAACUAAACUCCUUCCUUCUCAUCAAGAGAAUCUUGGUUUUGUUUUCCAUCCUCACAGUAUUCUAAGAGACUGGGGAUGGAGAGGAGGUCCAGGAGCCUCUGGCAGAGGCAGUGAGGGAACUGAGCUGCAGAGAGAUUAUAUAAACUGUUUGAGGUUACACUGUCUAAGUGGAGAAGCAUGAAUUCGGGAACUGAUUUUUUUUUUUUUUUAAGACGCUACCAUGUACCAGCUAGUUGCUUUAUUAUAUUUUCUCCAAUUUAAUUCUCACAACAGUCCUGGGAUUUUUGACUCCCAUUUUAUAGAUUGGGAAACUGAGGCUUAGAGAGGUGCCCUCCAUCAGCUGGUAUUCAGAAGAUCUGGGAUAGUGAAGACUGGUCUAUCUCCCUGUGCCCUGCUGCCUCCCAGGGUCUUACAGCUCCAAAUCAGGGUUCCUUCCAGAUGCUUUGCUGUGCGGCAGGGGGAAAAGCAUAGGAUUUGGAAUUGGAGAGCUCUGGCAUUGGAUGGCUUGCUAGCUCUGUAAACUUCAGCAAGUUUCUUCUGUUACCCUAAGUUUUCUCAUCUGUAAAAUGCAAAUGAUAGUACCCACCUCUUGGGAGUCACGUGAGGAUCACAACGGAUAACAGAAUGAGGUUACCUAGCGAGCUCUUCUUUCUUUGCACCGGCUCCCUUUGAAUACAAUAGUCUUUACAUCUCCAUCACCUUCUUCACACCCUUGCAGCCAAACAUACCCUGCUCUCUGCUGAGAAUAUGAAGCACCACCACCAGCCUACACACAUGCGCACAGUGUCCUGCCUUCUCUCCCACUGCCCUCAGUCCCCCCUCUCCUCAGUUCCCUGGCAGCAGCCCCCCUGGCCCUGAGUUUUGCCAAGUUCCCCCCAGUAUCCCAGACUCAUCAGCCCAUACUGGUCGGCAGAGGAGUCUCCACUCUCCCCGCACAGGUGCUGCCUGGAAGGCUGCCAGAACAGUGUGGGGUCCCAAGUCCUGGCACUUUCCCUGCACAUCCCAGGGGCUCGCAUCCCUCCUCUGCUUAUCCAGCCCUCCCCUCCCCUACUUACGGGCUC